AUUCAACUGACGAGUCCCAAAUAGGACGAAACGCGCAUCCUGGAU
rnacentral:hammerhead_ribozyme from 1 species